CCUACGGGUGGCAGCAGUGAGGAAUAUUGGUCAAUGGUCGGGAGACUGAACCAGCCAAGCCGCGUGAGGGAUGAAGGUACAGAGUAUCGUAAACCUCUUUUGUCAGGGAACAAAGGCGGGGACGCGUCCCCGGAUGAGUGUACCUGAAGAAAAAGCAUCGGCUAACUCCGUGCCAGCAGCCGCGGUAAUACGUAGGGGGCAAGCGUUAUCCGGAUUUACUGGGUGUAAAGGGAGCGUAGACGGCGUGCCAAGUCUGAUGUGAAAGGCCGGGGCUCAACCCCGGGACUGCAUUGGAAACUGGCAUGCUGGAGUGCCGGAGGGGCAAGCGGAAUUCCUAGUGUAGCGGUGAAAUGCGUAGAUAUUAGGAGGAACACCGGUGGCGAAGGCGGCUUGCUGGACGGUAACUGACGUUGAGGCUCGAAAGCGUGGGGAGCAAACAGGAUUAGAUACCCGAGUAGUC
rnacentral:rRNA from 1 species